rnacentral:rRNA from 1 species
AUGUCUUCCUCCAGUGCCGUCCAAUCGAACCUAAGUGGUCAGGUCACGGAGAAGCUCUCCCGGAUGAAUUACGUCCUGUGGCGAACCCAGAUCACGCUGCAGCUAAGGGGAGUCGGGCUCUUCGGCUACGUCGAUGGCACCAUGCCAGAACCGACGCGCCUCCUCAUCUCCAAGGACAAGGAUGGGAAGGAAACUUCUGAGCCCAACCCUCUCCACCCCAUCUAGGUCAGGGAGGACCAGCAGGUGCUGGGCUACCUGCUCAGCAACCUCUCCAAAGAGGUGCUGAUCACGGUGACCGCGGUCACCACUGCCCAUGCUCUCUGGACGAUGCUGGCAGGUAUGUUCUCCUCGCAAUCCUUGAGCCACGUCAACAACAUCUGCACUACCUUGAUCAAUGCACAGAAGGGCACCCAGUCCGUGGUCACGUACUUUGCCUCCAUGCGGGGCCUUGCCGACGAGCUCGCCGCGGUCGGGAAGCCCAUCCAAGACGACGAGCUGAUCUCCUGCUUGCUGCACGGGCUAGACAUGGACGACCAGCCCCUCGUCUCCGCACUCGACGCCCGUGUCACGCCGGUCUCCCUCGAUGAGCUGUACGCCAUGCUGAGCAAUUUUGAUCAGCGUGUC